rnacentral:misc_RNA from 1 species
GCUGCCCUCAAGCACGGCUUGUGUGUUGGGCCCCCGUCCCCGGUUCUCCCCCGGGGACGGGCCCGAAAGGCAGCGGCGGCACCGCGUCCGGUCCUCGAGCGUAUGGGGCUUCGUCACCCGCUCUGUAGGCCUGGCCGGCGCCAGCCGACACCCCAACUUUUUUUUUCUAAA